GGAUAGAUACUUCGAUUUUCUGGUCGCGCGAGAUUUUUUUUGGUUACCGGAACCGGUAGUAUUCGUGCGGCAGUAUUUAAGCCGAAAGCAGUGGUAAUUUCGUUCCAGUCUGGUUUUGUCUUCAAAAUCAGACACCAAAGGAUAAUCGGAGCCCUUUGUUUGUUCAAGGAUCGGAUAUCAGUUAAUUCUUUGGAUUUAUAUCAGUGCUUUUCUAUCGUCUUCAUGGAGUUCCAGCGUGUUGAGCAUAGGGGUAAGUUGACCAUCCAUAGUUUUUUUAUUAUUCUAAUAAGCAUAGUUAUUUAAGUCAUCCCAAGUACCUUAAUAUCUAAUCUAACUAUUUUUGUUCAUAUUAUCGCAAUAAGUGUUCCACUUUUUUAGUAAAAACGGACCCACUGCAUCAGGUAUCUUGGCUAGAAAACGAAACUAGCCGCCAUUACUAACCGGAAAUGAUAGAUUCAAUGGUUAUCAAUGGCUGCAUAGCUUUUUUGUUAGAUCGAUUUUUUUAAAAUCCAUCAUCAAGAACAGUUUUAUUUAGUCAUCCGUGAUUUUGAAUAUAAUGUGGGCGUGGCAGGCCUUGAUGUCGAUGUUGUUGACAAUAAGUUUUGAAGGCAUAUGUCCGAGGUGAAGAACUUUUGUAGGAAGAUUACCCGCAGCUGGCACCUAUUUGCACCUUACUUGGAUAAAAAAAUUUCUAUCGAUGCUGCUGGCAAAAAGACACCUAUCCAAGACAGCACUGAACGACCUAGUAUGGUGAAGAAGUUGCGACCUGAAGGUGAUGUUGAGGCUACUGAAAGGCAGGUAACACAGAACAACACUGUGCUUGUUGUUGCAGAAAAGCGGUUAGUCUUUUAAGGGCUUUUUGGCAAGAUGUUGACUGGACCGUGGAUGACACUGAUCUACAAAAUGAAAGAUGAAACAUUUUAAAGAUACCAUUUAUGCAGCUAUUAUAUUUAUUCUCUUGUUUUCUAGAUCUCUCAUGUGAAGGUCUGCAUUGACAAACUAAAGGCCAUUGUGGAUUCUCCAGAGAAUCUCCUUUCAAUACUAAUUGAUUGCUUUGGCCAGACUCUGGAUACUGAAGAUCUCGUUCUGAAAACCCUGAGAAAUGUGACUGUUGAUGAAGUAUUUAUCGAGAUCACUAAAGAACUUGCUGAAGGUUUUUGUAAGGUGCUACAGAGACAGUACUUCAAUUGAUAAUUUCCAACUACAAACAAAUCCAUUAUGUGCUUACCCAUCAAAUAGUUAGAUAUAUUUUAUUUUAAGGGAACAUGUUGCAUAUCUGGGAUAUUUAUUUAAUGUGAAAAAUAUAAUUUCACAAUCCAGCUGAUAAUUGUGCUAUGAACCAUUUAUAUUAAGUCUUGAUAAUUUUACCUUUUCAGCAAGCCUACAUUGGUAUGCAUUAAAAUUAUUUAUUCUAUUUCAGCAAAACAGAUAGGGUACACCCAAACAAUGUUCAUCUUCAAACAAUCAUGCAUGAUCCUCGCAAGCUUUGGAUACUGACGUACAUUUGCAAACGCACUCAGACUGAUGACAUCAAGAAAUCUAUAUUUGUUAUUUACAUUAUAU